GUCCCUCAACACAACAUCCAAAUGGUCUUUGAACACCACCAGGGUCGGUGACUCCACCACCUCUCUGGGCAGUCCAUUCCAGUGCCUGACCACCCUUUCAGAGAAGUAGUAUUUCCUAAUGUCCAGCCUGAAUCUUCCCUGGCGCAGCUUGAAGCCAUUCCCUCUAGUCCUAGUAUGUAACAUAAAUCAAUACUUUUUUAUCUUGAUGAUACAGGACUACUUGAUGUAGGGGCAAAAUGAAACUUAGCUAAGUAUCAGAGAUAUAUGAUGAGCUGAUGCUUCCCUUUAAACCUGUGAUUUACCAAGGCAAAUAGUGGCAAAAAAAAAGACACAAGACUGUGCAAGUCAACACUUGGUGAGGCAGGACAGCUCUGACUCCUAGCACCAUUUCUGCAUUCUGCAUUAAACCAGCAUUAGUUAAAAUAAAGUAAUAAGUAAUGGGAAGGGAGACUAAAGUCAAAGGAGGUCCCAGGGCAGGGAUGCUCUACUAUGUGCCCUUGCUCUGCCCUCUGGAUUCAUCCCCACUACUGUUGUGGACCCAGUGAUCCCAGAUCUACAACACAUCCAUGGGAGCUGAACCACUUUCCCAGGUUGCGUUUUGGGAAACCUGUGAGCCUCAGCGAGGAUAUGGCUCCACCCAAGGAGACAAGUGCAAGAUCAAGAGAAAGAGUAACAGUCAAUGCUCAGCCCAUGGUGCCUAGAGAUGACGAAGAGCCUCUUUACUUCAGUUAUUUUGCAUAGUUAUGGAUAUCCAAGUUUUUCAAAAACUGUUUUGCUUUAAACAUUUCUAAGUAGACUUCAAGGCAAAAGGAGGCUUUUUUUCAGGACAAUCCCAGCUCAAAUGCCUCCUCUUAAUAUCUUUAUAUAGGGAGAGAGACUACAAUAUUUUAAGUCUCUUCUUAUGUGGCAACACAUUGCUGCACCAUUUAUUCAAUUAAUUAUAUUACACAGAGAUAGACUCAAGAUGAUAUCCUCAUCAAUAUUUACAAGGUCUUCUGGAGGUAUACCUGCUUCCUCUUGGGAGUGUUGAGCCAAAUGAAAGAUGUGCGCGUGCAUUUAAAGCAAACUGCUCAAGCUUAAUAGUCAUUAACGUGGGCCAUACAGCUCCUGUUUGUCUCAGGCCACAAGUAGAGCACAGGAAUUUCUGUCUGCAGAAGGCUAUCUAAACAUAUCAUUCCUUCAUAAUUGUUGCUCUGACUGUGAAGAAGUCAUUGGCUUUGUAACUUAUAUUAAUAGAAAUUUUAAAAAUGUAUCUGUUGUAUAAACAAAGGAAGCUCUAUGAACUCAUCAGGCCAGAGGGCUAAACAUGCUUACUGAAUUAUCUUCUCUAUCAGGUUAGGCAGAUUUUCUAAGAAUAGGUCCAUUACAAAUUCUAGAACUGCAAGAAUUCAUUUGAGCCACAAAAUGUAGUAGACUGAACUAGCUAAAGAAAUAAGGAGCCUAAACAAAGACAGCUGCACCAAAGAGCAAGCCACUUUUUGAGGAAUUUUAAUUUGAAAGAGCUGACAUAAUUUAAAAACAAGUAGGACACGAGGCUUUACAAUCAUAUUUUACUUUUUAUUAACUCCAAGGUGCUGCCAAAUUGACUAAGUAGAUGGCAGCUGAUGUAACAAUGAACUUUUCACUUGUUCUCUUUUAACAUAUGGAGAGAGAGAGAUGAUUCAUGAGAAAGGAAUGUGAAUAAAUGGAAUUGCCUGGAAUUUACUUUUCUGUUUUACUCUCUUAGGUGCUCAAUUCUUCUAAGAAGCAAAAGUAAGCUCUGUUGGAUCCUUGGCAUGUUAAGAAAUGUUCAUUAACAUUCAGUUGAACAGAAAUUAGCAUGAAUGACAGGUUUUAACUAACAAUCAAAAUAAUCUUUAAAUGAUUUAUUAAAUAGUAACCAGUUCUGAAGCAGCAUUGAGAUUAAAUGUUAAGUAAAAUGCAACCAACGUUCAUAACUCUUCAAUAGUGAUUUAUCUUUCCAUUUGCUAAAGUUUAUUCUUACUCUUCCUGUGGGUAACCCAGUCUCCUCUGUUCUCCUUGUGUCAAGGCACAGGAGUCUAAAAGAUAAAAGGAAUAAAAGUAAUGGUUGUUCACAUACAUGCUAAUGAAUAUGGAAGAGUCUUUCAAAGCACAAUACACAAAGUUUACUCAGCAGAAAUUGUUUGGCACCUGGCAACUUUGAACUUGGAAGUAUUAAUCUAUAGAUAGAUAGAUAGAUAGAUAGAUAGAUAGAUAGAUAGAUAGAUAGAUAGAUAGAUGAUAGUAGAUAGAUGGAUGGAUGGAUGGAUACUUCCAGAUAUGGAAAGUAUUAAAUUUUUCUCUUAUGUAAUUUUGAAAUAAGUGGAUUUAUAGCAGACAUCAACAUUUAGCAGAAGUUAAGUCACAGCCAUAGUUCCCUGAGGGAAUUACUAGGUCACAAUCUUGAUUGUCAUCAUGUCUUCAUAUUUAGAUUCUUCUGGCACUUUAAGUUAUUGUCUUGGGUCUCGAAAUGCUGUCUAUGAUAUCUUAUCUGCUGUGUAGGCAAUGGCGUGUAUUUCCUUAUUCAGUUUUGUUUUCCUUUGUAACAACACCAGGUGGACAAAAUUUGAUUUAUAGCAACAUUCACAUGUAUAAAAUUUUGGACACAUUUUAUGGUAAGGAAUAAAUAAAUAGUUGUGUUUCUAUUAAAGUUAAAAGUUGUUUUAUGUGGAAAUAUUUUAUGUUUCAACUCUUUACUCGGUAUUAGAAAUCAGCUUACACCUAUCUGAAAUCUCUUUGAAGUGAUUACAAUUGAUAUUUUUCUCUGCUAUUUCAGACAUCAAUGAAAUCCGAUUUUUCAAACAACCACCAAUAAAAUAGGAUCUUAGAAACUGGAGGGGAAACAACUUUUCAACAACAAAAAAAAUAGUAAGUUAUAGAAAACACAUAAACUGAAAAUAAUUAUACCAAAUAUAUUGCAAAUAUUAAAGAGUUUUAAAUACGUUUUCUUUUUCUUAUGCUACAUGUAAUGCACCACCUUAGUGUAAUGAGAAAUUGGAACUUCCUUAAAAUGUGUUUAGCACCUUUGACAUCAUCUUGCAAUUUCUUUUGCAUAUAGGAUAUGGUCUUUAUGCUCUUUUAAUAAAUAUUUUUUUAAAGUUUGUAUUAUUUGUACUGUACUAUGUCCGUGAUUCAAGGAAGUAAUAAUCAAGGAUGUGUCCACGUGCUCUCCCCACUUAGGAGAUAAUUUUGAGCUGCAGACUAGAAUCUCAACUCCACAUAUAAACAGAACACUGAAUUUUUUUCAGGCUGCAUGCCUGAAUGGGCUUUUUUCUACUCCAAAAUCCUCAAGGUUCCUUUAGUUGCAAUAAUUGGGAAUAAUUAUCAUUAAGCUAUGUUUUGUGUGUUUUAUUAUCUUCCCAUUCUUGAAUAUCAUUACUUCAAUGCAGGCAAGUGAGAUAGGUGCCAGAUCAUAUCAUAUUUCACAAUAAAAUAAAGCCUGAGUAACUACAGUCAAAGUAACUGUUGCUGAUUCAUUUGACAGGAAUGUCUCUGCAUUUUAAAGCCAGUAUCAGUCACUACUUGUAAUAGAACAUUUAUGAUCCCUUUGGUCAACAACUGCAAGUAAAUGACAGCCACAAGGUAGGGCAGGUAUUCGAGUUGAUGAGGUCAUGGCCUUUUCUUCUGGACCUGUUUGCAUUCUGUUCUUCAGCAAGCUGAGGCAGGUGGAUCACAAUGAAGUAUUUUAUCAGACUCAACUCUGUGAAAGCAUAACUUGAGACAGUGCUGAAUAACACAAAAUGUGUCUCUUUUAUUUUUCUCCCUGGUAGACAUGAGACUGACAUAUAAUGCUUUCUGCAUACUGGCCAUGAAGCAGUCUGUGGCAGUUCAGCCAGGAUAGAUGUUUGAAAUGUGCUUGAUCAUUUCAUUCUGAACUUAUUUAACUCUUCCUUGACUUCACUGUAACACUUCAGUCACUUUUGAAACAAAGCAAUGGUUUCAAAAUAAAAAGUUGUAUUCUCUCUGUUAAAUAUUUGCAGAAUAAAUAUUUCCAGGUUUUUCAAUUUCUAAGGGUAUUUUUAGGCUCAGAUGUUUUGCCAAACUGGACUUUGACUUACAGUUAGUUUCAACUGAACUCAUAUGGCAUUUUUGAGUCAUGCUGGAUCAAAUACCAACUUGUCUGCAAGCUCAGAAGAUUACAAGCUCCGUGAGAGCUGUAGGCUUAGUUCAGAUGACAGAUACUCACAGUGUUUGGCAACCAAAUGUUCCAAAUCUGUUUGAUUAAAAUUUACUGGGACUUUCCAGGAUUUACCUGCCACCUCCAUAUUGGCGGGCACAGCAACAGUGAACAUGAAAACAUCAGUGUUGAACAUCAGGCACACUUGUGCAAUGGUCAUGACCUGAGAGCGUGACCCUGCAGGUGCUUGAUCACACAACCUUAAACUUCUGUUAAGGAAUGAUGGGGAAUGGGCAGUAGAGUGGAGUUGGGAGUUGUAUAUGUAUUUCAGUAUUAAUUAGAAAGUCUUCAGGUAAAGUAGGGUACAGCAGGAUCUUACUUGGAAAAUAUGACUUAUGCUGAGUCUUGCAGCUAAUUAGCCCAAUUAUACAUAGUGUAUGCCAAAUAACUUCAGUUUUAGUCCUGAAGUCCUGCUGAGACUCCAUGUCAAUGUGUAAAUAAACACUUUUAAAUUAAAGCGCUUAGUACUGCAUUUACUCCAAACGUCACCCAACAGUUGUUUUUCUUUUUAUAGAAUUAGUAGGAUUCUGUUGCACUUAAAGAUAACUUACUGACAGUUAAAAUAUAAACUGGAGUGGUAUUACUAUAGGCAUUCGAAAUUUUAGAAUAUAAUUUGCAGAGGGGUGCUCCAAAAGUAAUGCCUCCUAUUUUAUUAUGCUUGCUGGUACUGGUGGAUGGCAAGCUGAAUGUGAACCAGCAGUGUGCCCUCACAGACCAGAAAGCCAAUUGUAUCCUGGGCUGCAUCAAAAGAAGUGUGGCCAUCAGAGUGAGGGAGGUGAUCCUGUCCCUCCACUCUGCUCUGGUGAAAACUUACCUGGAGUAUUGUGUCCACACGUUGAGUUCUCAGUACAGCAUAGAUGUGGAUCUGUUGGAGCACAUCCAGAGGUGGGCCACAAAAGUGAUCUCAAGGAUGAAACACCUCACUUGCAAAGACAAGCUGAGUGAGCUGGAGCUGUUCAACCUGGAGAAGGCUCCAGGGAGACCUGACAGUGGCCUUUCAGUACCUAAAGGGGGGCUAUAAGGAAGAAGGGGGUAGAAUCUUUAUCAGGAUCCGUGGUGACAGGAUGAGGGGAGAGGGUUUCAAAGUAAAAGAGCGAAGAUUUAGAUCGGUAAUAAAGUAGCAGUUUUUUAAUAUAAGGGUGGUUAGGCACUAGGAUAAGUUGCCUAGAUAGGUGGUGGAAGCCCAAUCCCUGGAGAUAUUCAAGGUCAGGCUGAAUGGGUCUCUGACCAACCUAUUCUACCCGUGGGUGUCCCUAUUCACUGCAGAGGAGUUGGACUAGAUGACCUUUAACAGUCUCAUUCAUCUAAAAAAAUUCUGUGAUUCUAUGAUUCUAGGUUGAACAUUCCCACCAAUAUUCCAUUACAUUUUGUUGCCGUGUGACAGAUGGCAGCAGAGGGGCAGUCUGACAAAAUAUGUCUGACAUGGAAAUGUGUAUGAAGCAAAGUUUCACUGAAUUCCUCCAUGCAGAAAAAAAUGCACCCACUGGCAUUCUUCACUGCUGAACAUUUAUGGAGAAGAAACAGUGAAUGUGAGCACAGUUAGGAGGUGGAUGGAGUGGCUCAAUCAGCUCACCUGUGCAAAACAUAUGAUUAUGACCAGGGAACUGUGCAUGGAGAAGAAUACAGCUUCACUGCAAAGUCUGAACCAAGUGUGUCCCACAAAUGCUCACACAGGAUUCAAAAGAACACUGUAUACAAGUUGGUCACGACCUAUUGAACCAAUACAAGACUGAAGGUGAGAGUUUCCUGGAUCGCGUCAUUAUUGCUGAUGAGAUGUGGUGUCACCAUUACAAGCUGGAGUCAGAACAGCAGUCCAUGGCGUGUGACAUGUGAAUUUCCCAUAAAACAAAAAGUUCAAGAUGCAGCCCUCAACAAGUAACAUGAUGUUCACUGUCAUUUGGGAUAGGAAAGGGGUGAUCUUUCUGGAUUUCCUGGAACCCAGACAAACCAUCAAUUCUGACUGCUACUUUGCAGAGCUGGAGGCAUGAAAUUCCAUAGUCAGGCCAGAGAAGAAGACAACCUUUCUCUUGUAAUAAGAUAACACCAGGCCCCAUACCAUUCUGAAGACCUUAGAGCACAUUUUCAAUCUUGGCUGGACUGUCGGUCCUACAAUACUGACCGUAUAAUCAAGAUUUGGUGCCUUCUGACUUCCAUCUGUUCAGGCCAAUACAGAUGGACUGCAUCAGCAACAUUUUCCUAGCAACAACAUUAUCAUAGCUGCUGUGAAACAGUGGGUCACCUCUGCUGAUGCAGAUUUUUAUGAGCAUGGCAUGCAGGCUCUUGUUUAUCACUGGUGAAAACGCAUAGCUAAGGGAGGUGACUGUGUUGAAAAAUAUUAUUUUGUAGCUGAGAAUUUGUGUUAUCAGAUAGUGUUAUUGUGCUCAUUGUUGUAGUUUGCACGGAAAUAAAUAGGAGGCAUUUUAAAUUGACUUAUGUAUAUGAAGGCCCUUGCUCUGAUAAUGCUAGAAAAUCAUGGAGUUCAUUCUCAUUAAUUGUCUUCUCCAGUUCCUGCAAGUGACAAUAUUUUGACGAUACAAUAAAUCUUAAACUGAAACAGAAACAUCUUUUAUUUCAGGAUUUCUUUCUGAAUGUUUGCCUAUUUCCCAAGUCUAAUCUAAAACAAAAAAAAACUUAUAUAUAGUUAGGCAUUGCAGAUGGCAUGAUUAGUAAUGAGGCAGUACAAAACAGUAGACAUGUCCUGUUCAUGUCUUCAGUACUUAAUUCUAACCAAAGCAUUUGCAAUUUAUUUUCAACUGCAAUAUAAUAUUUAGGAGGCUAGGUGCUAGGUGGUUGGGUUUUCUUUGCCACUAUCAAAUAUCAGCCACCAGAACCUGACAAUAUUUUUUUUUUAGGUAAUGUUGCCUGAUAUCCUCUGAUUUACUUCCCACACUGAUACACAAAGUUAGAACUACCUUGCUUUCUUUAGACUGUUAUUUUCUGGGAGCUCACUGUAAUUGCCUUUCCUUGAUUUGUAGCAUCUAUAACUUUGUCUUUUGUCUUAUGGUUUUCCACUUUCUAGCUCCAGGAUAUACUGAUAAUUCUGGUAGAGACUUUAACAGCUGCACAAUAAACCCCCAAAAACAUGCUUUUUUUUUUUUUUUUUUUUAACCAGCAUGCUGACCAAAACCUGCCCCAUUCUCCUAACGCUUUAACCUCUUCCUAUUUUCCAGAGCACUAAGCAGUUUCUGGCAGGGCACAAGGACAGAAGGCCGAUGAAGAUGCUCAGCUUUCUGCUGCCAGUCAUCUCUCUGCCUGAUAUCUGGAAAGCUGAUGCUUCUGACAGCUGCCGGGGCAGUGGCAUUACAGCUCAGCAAAUUGAAAUUGUGCUGAGCCCUGCAGCUGGAAGGGAGGCAGUCAUGGUUUGAAGAGUUAAUCACAUGACACAUCCCCCUUCCCUUUGUAGAAAGGGAGGGGGGUGGAAGGAAGAGGGAAAAAAUGCAACUGAGACAGGAGAAACUAAUUUAUUUAAAGGAAUGUGAGAUAAUACAGAAUAAUUCAGACCAAUAUAUCAAAAUGAACCAAAAAUAAAACCAGAGGAGAGAGAGUCAGUCUGAGACUUUAUCAGCAAGCCCUCCAUGGUUCACCUCCUAGAAAAGACACGAGAACCCUUCACCCAUCACCUAGAAUUCGAAAUCAUGUGGAGGCUCCUAGGAAAUACAGUACAUCCCAGAGUAUCUUCCUCUCGGAGAGUCAGAACUCAUGUGAGGCUGUUAGAGAAACCAGGAAACACAGCUCAGCAGUGCACUGUGCCUUUUCACCCAAACAGCCUGUCUCAUGAUGUCAUAAUAUGGAAUACUGAUAGAACCAAGACAGAGGCUCCUGACUGUCAUCUCAGCUGCCCACAUGCUGAGCAUGACAGCCAGCUGAUGUUGGUGGCAUCCCCAUCCCCAACCCCCACAACUCAUCAUCCUCAAUGGGAGGAAGACUGUGCUGUCACCCUAGUGACCCCAGCUCAGGUGCACAGAAGUUCGUCUAUCUCUUCACCAGAGAUAGCUGUCAUGUAGAACCCAUCCACAUACCUGUGGUGAGAUGGCCAGCUCCAGAGUACUGGAUGUCAGCAGCUCCCACCACCACCUCCACACCCCAGGUUCUCCCCAGCAGCAGCUCACUCACUGCACAGAACAUCUCCCAUGAACACACAUGUGCUUUUCCAGUUGCACUGCAAAGAUCACAAGAUCUGACUUUAAACGGUUUAAGAAACAAAACAAAACAAAACAAAAAUUUAUAAGACCUCCAGCUCAUUCUGCUUCUGUUUCAGAUGUUUGACAGUCUAUUGGUAAUUCACAAAGGCAGUUUGCUAGCUCUGGAGCUCAAGCAGGGGCUGCCUGAGAUAUUCAGGAGUCUCAGCAUUGGCAUAGAUGGGAUUUUGCUGUCCUGUAGGCAUAUCUGUACUUCAAUAACAUUUUGUAUUAUUCUCAAGUGAGUCUCAAUUUUAGGAUGGGUCACAUCUUGUUUAACAUACACUAAAACUAGAAAAAAAUAAAUUCUAAAAUAUAAUUUUAUUUCCCAUUCUAAAUUAAGAUCUUCUGCUUUUAAAAUACACUCAUCAGUCAUUUGAUAUGAUAUUGUUCCAGACCAUUUAAUCUGUAUAAUUCUUUUAGAAAACAACAUUUCUCAACGUUUAACUAAACAUUCCUGGAACAAGAAUUUAUUCUGCAUUUUACCCUUUCAGCCUCAGAAAUCAACCACCUUUAUUGCAUAUGUGUUUUGUUUUGUUUGGCUCAUUGUUUCCCUUGGUUUAGAGAUCAAAAAAAUGGAUCUCUACUGUAAAAAUAAGCUCUGUGUGGGUCGAAAGGAGAUAAAGGGAGGAUAGGGGACCAUUUCAUUGUAUAUGAGUUGUAUCUAAUGGCUUUAUUAAGUGUGCUUCAGAUGCUUUGCAUUAAAACUUAAUUUAAAGAAUGCUGAAUGAACGCCAAAAUCAACUGCAUUGUUGGAUAAAUGGACUCGCUGCACUCAAGUUCUGAUUUAUUCUGACAUAAAAUUGCUUGCCUGCAAUUAAAUGUUAAUUAUUCUACCCAAAGACAUAAGUAAACACUGAUCAUAAGGAUUCAAAUCACCAUAAUGGUUUGUAUAAAUCCUAUGAUCAAUUUUUAUUCACCUAGUUUUAUGCUUCUAACAGCCAUUACACAUUCAUAUUAAUAUUGAUAGUUGCCACAGGCACACAUCAAAUAUUUUCUUUUUGUCUCAUUCCAAUAUCAGCCUGAACUUAGUUACAACCUGCUUAUUUUCCUCAGUCUGUUCCACCAUCUUUUUAUUGCAUGUUUCUACUGUUGUAUAUACCUACCUCAUUUUCCUUUGUCCACCAAGUGAUGCUACCAUCUCUUUCGUACUAACGUAUAUUGAAAAGGGAAGGGAAGGGAAGGGAAGGGAAGGGAAGGGAAGGGAAGGGAAGGGAAGGGAAGGGAAGGGAAGGGAAGGGAAGGGAAGGGAAGGGAAGGGAAGGGAAGGGAAGGGAAGGGAAGGGAAGGGAAGGGAAGGGAAGGGAAGGGAAGGGAAGGGAAGGCAAGGGAAGGCAAGGGAAGGCAAGGCUCAGGGGAAAAAAAAAAAAAAAAAAAAAAACGAUUCCCAAAGAAAAACACAGGCUGAUUUUCCAAGUGUAAAGGUGAUGAUAUAGGUGCUGGAACACAUUAGCUCAGAAUGCCGCAACAAUGCCUUAUCUGCUUCUACUGUAUUACCACACACCAGCAGCCUCAAAAAACUUCCUCUUUCUAAAAAUUUCCAUUCUGGCUCCUGGAAGGUUUGAGCAAAACAAAGUGGUAGCUUUUUGCCUGGACUGAGUGUAAAGAAAUCAUGCAUUCCCAAGAAUAAAUUAAUGUUAAAGCACCAAAAGAUGUAAAUGUUUCAUAUUGACUAAUUUUGGUGUGAUUUUUAAAGAGCAAAAUAAGAAAGGUGACUUCGAAGCAACACUUAAUCAAAUGAGCAAAGGGUAAUAGCUAUUUACCCAAGAGGCAGAAAAUGCCAAAGGUUGCAUGCUUAACCUUAAUUCACUGAAUCUUUAUUCUAACCACAGCUAUUGCUUAUUUGGUCAAAAUAAAUGAUUUUGUUCCCUACCUCAUGUUUGCUCAGCAAACUGUGCACGCUGGAAGACUGUUCAGAGUUGGCCACCUCUAACUGUGCUGCCUGAAGCAAUUGCUGAGAUUUGCCUGUGGGACAGGUCAUUUAAUUUACCAAUAUCUCAGUCGAUUACUGCAGCAAUAGAAUAUAGGAAAUUAUAGAACAAAAAGUACUAAUGAGGAGAGGAGAGGAGAGGAGAGGAGAGGAGAGGAGAGGAGAGGAGAGGAGAGGAGAG
ensembl:lncRNA